rnacentral:rRNA from 1 species
GUGGGGAAUAUUGGACAAUGGGCGAAAGCCUGACGCAGCCAUGCCGCGUGAAUGAUGAAGGUCUUAGGAUUGUAAAAUUCUUUCACCGGGGACGAUAAUGACGGUACCCGGAGAAGAAGCUCCGGCUAACUUCGUGCCAGCAGCCGCGGUAAUACGAAGGGGGCUAGCGUUGCUCGGAAUUACUGGGCGUAAAGGGCGCGUAGGCGGACAGCUUAGUCAGAGGUGAAAGCCCAGGGCUCAACCUUGGAAUUGCCUUUGAUACUGGCUGUCUUGAGUUUGGGAGAGGUGAGUGGAACUCCGAGUGUAGAGGUGAAAUUCGUAGAUAUUCGGAAGAACACCAGUGGCGAAGGCGACUCACUGGCCCAAUACUGACGCUGAGGCGCGAAAGCGUGGGGAGCAAACAGGAUUAGAAACCCCGGUAGUCC